rnacentral:lncRNA from 1 species
UUUUUUAAUAGUCUAUGUAGUAGAUUGAUUUACAUAUGUUGAACCAUACCUACAUUUCUGAGGUGAAGCCUACUUGAUCAUGGUGGAUGAUCUUGGAUUUGAUUUGCAAGUAAUUUAUUGAGAAUUUUUUGCAUCUAUGUUUAUAGGGAAAAUUGAUCUUGUUAAAAGACUUAGGAAAUGUUCCUUCUGUUUCUAUUCUGUGGCAAAAUUUGAAGUCUGGGGCUUCUUUCUUGCAGGACUAUUAAAACUCUAUGCUGAAUCCAUCUUGCCUGAGGGUUUUGUUUUUUUUUUUAAUUUGUUUGGGAGACAUAAUUACUGUUUGUACCUCAGUAGGGGUAAUGGGUGUGUUUAAAUUUCUUAUAUAUUCUUUAUCUAUAUUUGGUAGAAGAUAUGUGUGCAUAUAUCUCCUUUUCAUUUAGAUUAUCCAGUUUGGUGAAAUACUGAUAUUUAGAUGUUUUAAAUUAUGUCCUCAUGAUUCUUUGGAUUUCCUCAUUGUCUGCUAUCCUCCUUUUUUGUCUCUAUGUUUUUUAACUCUGGAUAGUCUCUCUCCAUCUUUUAUUUUAUUUGGUUAAGGAGUUAUUAAUUCUAUUGAUCUUUCUCAAAGAGUUGACUUUUUGUUUCAUUGAGUCAUUUUAUUGUUUCUCUUGUCUCUAUUGAUUUCAGCCCUGAGUUUGAUUAUUUCUUGCUGACUACAAGUGUUACUUCUUUUUGUUCUGGAUCUUUCAAAUGUGCUGUUGUAGUUGUGAAUUUGAGAUCACUCCAGUUUUUGUUUUUUUCCCCACAGGCAGUUAGUGCUUUGACCUUGCCUCUUAGAACUGCCUUCAUUGUGUCCUAUAGAUUGCAGUACAUGUGUUUUUUACUUUCAUUCAAUUCUAAGAAGUUUCCUUUUUUAUUUCUCUGUUAACCAUUUUUUCAUUCAGUAGUAAGUUGUUAAAUUUUCUUACUUUUUUAUACUUUUUUGUUGUUGAUAUCCAGCUUUAACCAUAGCAGUCAGAUAGGAUAUAGGGAGUUAUUUCAGUUUUCUUGUAUCUGUUGGAACUUGCGCUUUGUCUGAGUAUGUGGUCAAUUUGGAGGACGUUCCAUGAGGUGCUGAGAAGCUAUAUUCUGUGGUUUUUGAGUGACAUGUUCUGUAUAUACCUGUUAAGUCCAUUUGGUUUAUGACAUCAGUUAGCUGCUGCAUUUCUCUUCUUUAGUUUUUGUCUGAAUUACUUGUCUAUUGGCAAGAGUGGGUUAUUGAAGUUUCCCAUUAUUACUGUGUGAGGAUCAAUAUGUGAUAUAACUUGUAGUAGUAAUUCUCUUACAAACUUGUUGCCCUUGUGUUUGGGGGAUAAUAAUAUUGCAAUGAUGUCGUCUUGGUGGGUUUUUCCUUUGAGUAUGUAGUGUAUUCAUUAACUCUUCUUAUCAGCAUAGGUUUGACAUCUAUUUUGUCAGAUAUUAAAAUAGCUACACCUGCUUGUUCUUAAGCUUGGAAUAUCUUCUUCCUUGAUAAAUACCUCCUUUUUUGAGGUUACAGAAAUUUUCUUCUAUUAUUUUGUAGAUUUACUUUUUUCUUUAAAAAAAAAAACAUUUAUUUAUUUUAUGUAUGUGAGUAUACUGUAGCUGUCUUCAGCCACACCAGAAGAGGGUAUUGGAUGCUAUUACAGAUGGUUAUGAGCCACCAUGUGGUUGCUAGGAAUUGAACUCAGGACCUCUGGAAGAGCAGUAUCAUGGUUAGUGUGGGUCUUCCUAACUCAGUCUAAGCUAGAUAAUCUUGCACAAGCAUCCCUUGCUCAUAGGCUUUCCUCCUGGGUGAUUCUAGAUGUUGCCAAGUUGGCAAUAUUACUACCAUGACAUAAGUGUGAAGACCUGAGAGUGUUUGUACAGUGAUGUACAACUGUAUUGCAGCACUGAGGAAGUUGAGACAGGAGAAUUCCUUAGGCUCCUUUGUUGGCCAGUUUAGCCAAAGUGGCAAGUUCCUCGUUCACUGUCUUAAAUAAAAAUAAUUGAGGAUGAUACCUGACAUUAACAUUUGCCCCUCCAUGUGCACAGGUAUGCAUAUGUACGUGCACAUAAAUGAGCAUGUGUACACAUAUGGCCAUACAGACAGACACUAACAUGGAUGGACACAGAAUGUUAUUGAAUGUUUGAUGUGAAAGUGUGAGAUUAAGCAUUCUUUUCUGUAUUUGAUUAUGUAUAUUUCUUUUCUUUGUAAAUUAUCCAUUCAAGUUAUUCAUUCAUUUGUUUUUCUUUGUACCAGUUUGAAUUUUAAGUGUAGUUUGAAUUUCAAGUCCUUUUGGCAUAUGCAUUGCACCUUAUUGCUAGUUUAUGCCUUAUAUUUUAAUUUUGUUGUUGUUGUUUGAGACAUUAUUUCUCUGUGUAGCUCUGGAUGUCCUGCCUCUGGAUAGCCUGCCUCUGCCCUCCCACUUGCUGGGUGCUGGGAUUAAAGGCAUGUGCUAUACCACCCAGAUGUAUUCAUUUUCUUAAUGAUCUUUUCUGCAGAAUAAAAUUCUAUUUUAUACAUGAUAAAUAUCUAUGAAAUAUCUAUUUCAUAGAUAUUUUUUCAUGAUGUGUAAGAGUUCAUUGACUCUUCCUAUAAUACUAAGAUCUUUUUCUUCUUAAAAAAAUAUUUAUUGUUUACAUUCUAAAUUUAAAAAUAGUUUUCUGCCCAAGUAUUAGAGCAGUUAAUAUGAAUUACAUUAUUUAAAUUUUUAAUUUCAAUGUCAAAUCUUUCAUUUUUAUUAUGUAAUUUACCUGUUUUGUGUGCAUAUCUUAUGAACUUUGUAUUCUAUAACAUUUGUAGUUUUGCCUAUUUGAGUGUUUGGAUUUUUUUUUUUUUGAUAAAAUUCUUGAGGAUUUUUUUGUUGUUAUCGACUAUACAACUAUUCGCAUAUAGGGUAUUUUAUUUAUUUAUUGUUGUAUUACUUUUAUUAUCUUCUAUGCCUUAUUACUCUGGCUUAGACUCCCAAUUCUAUUCUUUCUCAUUUUAAAGAUAUUUUAACUUUUAUUACUAUCUGGGUAAGCAUAUGUCACGUGUGUUGGGGGAUGCUCUUGUUGCAACCAGAGUACAGGUGGUAUUGAGCUUUGGACAAUGAGAGCUGAGAACUGAACUGAGGUCUUCUGGAUUUGCCACAAGUGCUCUUAGCUGCUCUACCAUCUCUCCACAUCUGUAUACCCCCUAGUUUCAUUUUCACUGUGAAUCAGUGAACAGCGUCUUUCACUGUUUUUGAUCUUGGGAUUCAGUCUUUCAUCAUGAAGAAAGAUAAUAGCUGGAGAUCUCUUUUUUGAUUCUGUAUUAGCUACUUUUGCCCAAAUGUGACUCGAAAUGG